UGGGUUACCUCUUUUUCAACUCGUUGCAGCCUCUUCCUCUUUGUUAGGAUGUUGCAAGAUUGUGUUAAGAACACUGAGUGGAGCAGGUCAUUAGAGGACUAGUGACAUGGCAGGAUUGUGUGACGGGCUCCUCCUCCUCUUCAUAGGGCCCACCAAUGAGAGACACUUCAGGUGCUGACCUUAUCAGGUGGAGGUCAAUGCCAGGUCUUCACCAUGACAGACUCUUCUGUCACUGUCGCUCUGAGUACGGCGGGUUAACGGCAGGUCAGAG